rnacentral:rRNA from 1 species
UACGUAGGGUGCAAGCGUUAAUCGGAAUUACUGGGCGUAAAGCGUGCGCAGGCGGUUGUGUAAGUCAGAUGUGAAAUCCCCGGGCUCAACCUGGGAAUUGCAUUUGAGACUGCACGGCUAGAGUGUGUCAGAGGGGGGGUAGAAUUCCACGUGUAGCAGUGAAAUGCGUAGAGAUGUGGAGGAAUACCGAUGGCGAAGGCAAUCCCCUGGGCCUGCACUGACGCUCAUGCACGAAAGCGUGGGGAGCAAACAGG